rnacentral:rRNA from 1 species
GACGAACGCUGGCGGCGUGCUUAACACAUGCAAGUCGAACGGAAAGGCCCUGCUUUUGUGGGGUGCUCGAGUGGCGAACGGGGGAGUAUCACGUGAGUAGCCUGCCCUUGACUUUGGGAUAACUUCAGGAAACUGGGGCUAAUACCGGAUAUGAGCUCCUGCUGCACGGUGGGGGUUGGAAAGUUUCGGCGGUUGGGGAUGGACUCGCGGCUUAUCAGCUUGUUGGUGGGGUAGUGGCUUACCAAGGCUUUGACGGGUAGCCGGCCUGAGAGGGUGACCGGCCACAUUGGGACUGGGAUACGGCCCAGACUCCUACGGGAGGCAGCAGUGGGGAAUAUUGCACGAUGGGCGGAAGCCUGAUGCAGCAACGCCGCGUGCGGGAUGACGGCCUUCGGGUUGUAAACCGCUUUCGCCUGUGACGAAGCGUGAGUGACGGUAAUGGGUAAAGAAGCACCGGCUAACUACGUG